rnacentral:rRNA from 1 species
CAGUAGCCGCGGGAAUACGUAGGUGGCAAGCGUUGUCCGGAAUUAUUGGGCGUAAAGCGCGCGCAGGCGGAUCAGUUAGUCUGUCUUAAAAGUUCGGGGCUUAACCCCGUGAGGGGAUGGAAACUGCUGAUCUAGAGUAUCGGAGAGGAAAGUGGAAUUCCUAGUGUAGCGGUGAAAUGCGUAGAUAUUAGGAAGAACACCAGUGGCGAAGGCGACUUUCUGGACGAAAACUGACGCUGAGGCGCGAAAGCCAGGGGAGCGAACGGGAUUAGAUACCCCAGUAGUCCCUGUCUCUUAUACA